CAGGGCUUUCGUCUUGUAAUUGGAAUGAUGGUGAUGUACAACCUCACCAGAGUACCAAUUGGAGGGCAAGUCUGGUGCCAGCAGCCGCGGUAAUUCCAGCUCCAAUAGCGUAUAUUAAACUUGUUGCAGUUAAAAAGCUCGUAGUUGUAUUUCAGCCUCGCGUUUUUUCCCUGGUUUUGGGUCUUUUCGCUGGCUUUUUUUUUACUUUGAGAAAAUUAGAGUGUUUCAAGCAGACUUUUGUCUUGAAUACUUCAGCAUGGAAUAAUAGAGUAGGACCUUGGUUCUAUUUUGUUGGUUUUGAGCCUUGGUAAUGGUUAAUAGGAACGGUUGGGGGCAUUCGUAUUUAACUGUCAGAGGUGAAAUUCUUAGAUUUGUUAAAGACGAACCACUGCGAAAGCAUUUGCCAAGGACGUUUUCAUUAAUCAAGAAC
rnacentral:rRNA from 1 species